rnacentral:rRNA from 1 species
AGCAGCCGCGGUAAUUCCAGCUCCAAUAGCGUAUAUUAAAGUUGUUGCGGUUAAAAAGCUCGUAGUUGAAUUUCGGGGUUAGUAGGUUGGUCAUGCCAUUGGUAUGUACUGAUCUCACUGAUUCCUCCUUCCUGAUGAACCGUAAUGCCAUUAAUUUGGUGUUGCGGGGAGACUGGACUGUUACUUUGAAAAAAUUAGAGUGUUUAAAGCAGGCUAACGCUUGAAUACAUUAGCAUGGAAUAAUGAAAUAGGACGUUCGAUCCUAUUUUGUUGGUUUCUAGGAUUGACGUAAUGAUUAAUAGGGAUAGUUGGGGGCAUUAGUAUUUAAUUGUCAGAGGUGAAAUUCUUGGAUUUAUUGAAGACUAACUACUGCGAAAGCAUUUGCCAAGGAUGUUUUCAUUAAUCAAGAACGAAAGUUAGGGGAUCGAAGACGAUCAGAUACCGUCGUAGUCUUAACCAUAAACUAUGCCGACUAGGGAUCGGAUGAUGUUAAUUUUUAAUGUACUCAUUCGGCGCCUUA